AAAUUGAAGAGUUUGAUCAUGGCUCAGAUUGAACGCUGGCGGCAGGCCUAACACAUGCAAGUCGAACGGUAGCACAGAGAGCUUGCUCUCGGGUGACGAGUGGCGGACGGGUG
rnacentral:rRNA from 3 species